UUUCUUUCUUUUUCUGCUGGCUUUCUUUCUUCCAGCCGCAGCAAAUGCAAUUCCUUGCAUGGCCAUUACAAUGCAAAUUUAAGACAUGAGCCAUUCAAUGUGAUAACAAUUUUAAAGUGUGGCUUGUCUGCAAAAUGGGAGCCCCCAGAAGUGCACUGUAACCCAUCCAGAUUUACACUUGAACACACUGCCAUCAGGAGCACGACACUCCAGCAGCACUGAGUCAUUUCAGCACAAAUGCAGUCUGGUAGAUACCUUCAGAAAUCAUCACUGUGUUCUUGUAUGGCAGUGUACCACUUGUGAUAGGAGAUUCAGCUUCAAGGGGCCAUGAAGAUGACUUGAAGACCAGGCUGCUACCGCAGGAGCAACAUAUCAUGCUCUUAAUAAGGGAACAGGGAGUGGAAGGAACGGAGUGAUGAUGAGAAAGAGACACUGAGGUGCAGAAAAACAAGAAAGUGGAUUUUUGCAAGAGCAGCAGCAAAAUCAAGGGAAGAUACACAACAAAAUGGACUCAGGUGCAAAACGGUGCAUGGAGAGGUUCAGGAUGAAGAGACUAAGGCAUAUGGGGCUGGGAAGCGCAGAACGAGGUGUUGUAGUUACUGCGGCAUCCAGAAAAAGCAUUAGCAGGAGAAGUGAGUGACUGAUGGCUGAUUUGUCCUGAGCGCAUGUCGAAAGAACAAGCUUCCUCCUGCAAAUUGUUUUCUCCCUGCCUCAACCAAGAGACGGCUGCUAUUCUGGUGAAGUGACAGAUGCUGCUACCAGUCAUAUGACUAGGCAAAAACGCUCUCAUUUUUAGGAAUAUGGGAUGAUGUGUUCUAGUAUCCAAGGGUAAUUUCUUACUAUUUAUUCUUGCUUGCCCCUGACACAUCCCCUGCCAUCUAUUUCUAGAUUUUUCCUCUUGGGUAGCAGACUUAAGUCUGUACUUUUUCUUACAAGCCAUAAACAGAAAAGAACAGUGUUUCUGCAAAAAUACACACAGA
rnacentral:lncRNA from 1 species